AUUGAACGCUGGCGGCAGGCUUAACACAUGCAAGUCGAGCGGAGUGAUGGUGCUUGCACCAUCACUUAGCGGCGGACGGGUGAGUAAUGCUUAGGAAUCUGCCUAUUAGUGGGGGACAACAUCUCGAAAGGGAUGCUAAUACCGCAUACGCCCUACGGGAGAAAGCAGGGGAUCACUGGUGCUCUCGCGCUAAUAGAUGAGCCUAAGUCGGAUUAGCUAGUUGGUGGGGUAAAGGCCUACCAAGGCGACGAUCUGUAGCGGGUCUGAGAGGAUGAUCCGCCACACUGGGACUGAGACACGGCCCAGACUCCUACGGGAGGCAGCAGUGGGGAAUAUUGGACAAUGGGGGGAACCCUGAUCCAGCCAUGCCGCGUGUGUGAAGAAGGCCUUAUGGUUGUAAAGCACUUUAAGCGAGGAGGAGGCUCUUUUGGUUAAUACCCAAGAUGAGUGGACGUUACUCGCAGAAUAAGCACCGGCUAACUCUGUGCCAGCAGCCGCGGUAA
rnacentral:rRNA from 1 species